rnacentral:lncRNA from 1 species
UUUUGAACUCGGUAGUCAUGUUGUGUGAUUUUUCUUUCUCUUUUUUUUGUGCAUCACGUAUACUCUGGGGGUUAAUUUCACUCUUUUGACUCUUUUUCUACUCAAAUUUUUCGAGCAUUUUAUAGGUGUUAGAGUCUUAAGUCUCGGCAAGUGCAUUUUUUCUCUUUUGUUUUUUUUUGUUUUUUUUAAGGAACAUACAUACUAUUUUCUUUUUGUAUGAUCUCUCAUUAUGCACUUGCCUCUCUUUCAAGAUUUCCACCCCAAACUUAG